rnacentral:rRNA from 1 species
UACGGAAGGCAGCAGUGGGGAAUAUUGCACAAUGGGCGCAAGCCUGAUGCAGCCAUGCCGCGUGUAUGAAAAAGGCCUUCGGGUUGUAAAGUACUUUCAGUCGUGAGGAAGGUGUUAAGGUUAAUAACCUUAGCAAUUGACGUUAGCGACAGAAGAAGCACCGGCUAACUCCGUGCCAGCAGCCGCGGUAAUACGGAGGGUGCGAGCGUUAAUCGGAAUUACUGGGCUAAAGGGCACGCAGGCGGUUAAUUAAGUUGGAUGUGAAUCCCCGGGCUUAACCUGGGAAUGGCAUUCAAGACUGGUUAGCUAGAGUCUUGUAGAGGGGGUAGAAUUCCGAUGUGUAGCGGUGAAAUGCGUAGAGAUGUGGAGGAAUACCGGUGGCGAAGGCGGCCCCUGGGACAAAGACUGACGCUCAUGUGCGAAAGCGUGGGGAGCAAACGAGGGAUU